rnacentral:tRNA from 1 species
GAGCAUAUAGCUCAGUGGUAAAGUAUAUGCUUGGCACGUAUGAGGUCCUGGGUUCAAUCCCUAGUGCCUCC